GUGCUAGUAGCAUAAUUCAGUGACGGUUGGAUCCGACUUUCCUUUGCGGCACGAUCUACAGAAAUUUGACGCGGCUCAAGACUAAAGAGAUUUAUCGAGAGAAAGACAUCUCACAUGAAAACAGGUUAUACCGGGCGUAGUAUAUAAAUGCAGCACUUAAUUUUCGACCAGAUCUAUUCGUUUAAUAUCUACAAAGCAGCCGCAAAAGGAAAAGUUUGAUGGAAAGUGAUAGUUUCACGAAGACAUGGGGAAAAGCGAGUUUUGUAGAGGGUAUCAAACGAGAUUAAGGCUACGUUCGGGGAAAUACUAUUUAACGCUUUGAGCACGCUCUGUCCUUAUUCAACUUUCAAUAAGUAACAAGGACAGAGCAUGCUGAUAACGCUAAAUAGCAUCUUCUCCAAUACAGCCUGAGUAUAACGAUAUGGAGAAUCGGUUUGGAAACCAGUUUCAAUCAGGAAAUAUCGCUUUCAUCGCGUAUCCGGAGUCAACGUCGUUGCGUUGCGGACAGCGGCGAGUCGAUGCGGAAUCGUCGCUCGCGAAACGUUAUAUCCGUAAUGCAUAAUUCUUAGUGAGUAGAUACAUACACGCGCGUAUCUAUGCGUACGUAACGGACGCGAAUUCGUAUGCGAAUGCGGCAACGCACGCCGAAGGAAAGCGAGGAAACGAAGCUCGGCCGGACCGAACUUAAGUCCAGCGAACGAGCGCGCGUGUAAUUGUGAGUUAAGUAUGCGGCUAGGCUCUUCGUAUCGUAUCGAGCUAGAACACGUCGCUUGGCCUUUACGCUGACCCGUGCUUUCACCCGGUAGCAUCGUCUCAUCCCGAUUCACCUCGUCCCAUAGCCCGGUCUCAUCGAUUCGUCUUUACCAGUCACUUACAGCGCAUCGUGAUGUAAUACACACAAAUAGAAAGAGAUAAAGAGAAAGAGAGAUAGAGCGAGCAUUCACGAAAAACCGAGUCGAAUCUUAUCGCGAGAUCUUGUCGUGACUUAGACCGCACGAUUGUCGUCGUACGUGUCACAGAUCUCACAAUGGUCGUAGGGAAACAAGAAGAAGAGGUAAAAGAGACUCCUUCGCGACGAAGUCGCGCUGAAUAAAAUACUCUCCCGUGAGCAACGACGGGAGAGAUCUCGAGCGAGUUGAAGCGUUGCGAAUGAAGUGCGUCGCUCGAGAUCGAGAGAUCUCGCGACAAUUGGUGACUCGGUCGCGAAAUUAAAUGUAAUGCGAGUCACGAAGAUCGUCAAGAUUGUUAACGCGCGGCGUCCAACUGCACGUCAUUGUUUUACGCGCUUUCGAAACGUACGUCUAGGAUGCAUUCAGCUGUGUUGGCGUAAUACGCGUCUGACGAUACGAUUGCGCGACGUUAGCUACGUUAUUAGGGUGCACCAACGUUGCUCGUACGUAUAAAGUAGGUAACCGAAUUUCUCCGUGAUAAUUUGAGAAGCUCACUUCGAUUAAAAUACUUAAUAUUUCGCGAGAGAUCGACGAGACGAAUCGACGAAUCCCGCACCAAAUCGCGCGAGCUCUCGUCUCGCCAUUAAUACAUCCCCCGUGCUGUACGAUUCGGCCUCGAAGCCGCAUCUCUCGCCGAAUACAAGCGAAAACGAAGAAACUGUACACUCUAAUCCCGGCACCUUUCACCGUGCGCAUGUCAUCAUGGUCCAUCAUAUUCGGGUUCGCUUGCUCGCUCGCUCGAACGAAUUGCAGUCUAACGCUUGUGAGAGUUCUCGCCGUUAGCCGCGAUCCCGCGAGCUAUAAUAUUGUCCACGACGCGUUCAUCGCUGGCGCAUAGCCAGCCGAACGGUAACUAUGGUCUUACGUAAGGAAUGCACGAUUGCGGGAAAAGCUACAGUUCUCUCUCCCCACAAACAUCGUCAUAAUCGCAUUUUUUAGCAGUGCCUGAAAAUGUCGGUGAAUUAUGCCCCGUAUUCCCGCGCAAUAAACCGUGAUUGAUUAGCAAUCUCGCCAGUUCUCGUUUUGUAGAAGGAUGAAGAAGAAAGCGCGACAGAGUUCGAACAGGAUUUCGGAGAACGCGACUCUCGAUCAAUGGCUAGUUAUUAGCGGUUGUUACGGCAAACGCUACCAUGGACAGUAACUAAUUCGAAUUAUUUAUUGAACACGAAACUGGCAAUUACAGCAAUAUUCCGCAAUAGCAUUGCAGGACGAUAAAUACGAGUAAAGUUUCAGAACCGUUCCCGAGCGGCGAUGCGAGUGAAAGGUAUCGCGAUGUGAGCAGACCAAAAAUGCCCACUCGAAAAGGAACGCAAAAUCCAUCGCGUCGACCUCGGCGAACGCCACCAUCGUCGGAGACGCUGCAAGAUCCUAGAUCCGUCGGAUGUUGCCGCCUCGUCGGAGAUCCGCGUGCGGAAUUGCGCAGUCACGUGGAACAGUAUCGAGAAACUCUCAGGACAGUGAAAGUGAUCUUUCGACCUCCGCUGGCAACGAUGAAAAGGUAAAGAAACGUCGGUGGAAUUUUUAACGCAACAAGCACAAAAGAAUUCACUCCGUGGAUCUUGUACGAAGAAAAGGACAUAGAGGACUCCUGUGUUUACGCCGUAAAAGUCAAUCGAUUACUCCUUUAACGAGUCAUUACGUUGGAUCUAUGUUCUUCGUCUUCGUACCUAACAAUUCUAGUUUUCAUGUUCUCCAUGUGUCGGGUUCUUACGCUACUUCAUGGAUUUUGUCGUGGUAGCUUGCAACACAACUGCUCAAGAGAGAGACCCUACGUUAGAGGUAGGAAAACGAGCAGUAGGGAGGGAAACCGGACGAAAUCCGGUGACGAGCGUCGUUCUCGCCUUGAUUAACGGUUGUUUAGGAGCAGUGAAAGUUUCUCCGCGCUCGCGCACUCGGGUUCGGGAUGCGCUACCUUUUCGGAAGGAGAUAAAUGUGACGUUCCUUCACGUCUCCUCGCUCGCGUUCCCUCUUUCCUCGACGAGAAUCGACGGGAGAAUCGCCAUUGUCGCGCAAUACUCGCGUUCUCAUGCGGAAACGCGCUGAGAAAGGAAGUCAGCGGCGAAGGAAUUAAUCCCUCGCGCCAACUUGCUUCGCCCUGUCCUGUCCAAGCUUGAAGCUGACCGAGCUGAGAGCCGAAUGACCUCCAUCCAGGACGAGGCUCAGCAGGAUCUCCGUUGCGUUCACCCUCGUACCUGAAGUCUCCUCGACGGCGCCGCGAUUGUGCAAUGUGCGGAAGAGUAUCGGGGUUAAACGUUACGUUAGGCGCGGGACUAGCGUGAAACUAAUCGUCCGUACAAAAUCGCGUGAUGCCAUAUUAAACGGCGACGCCGAGAUUUUCCACGGGGCCGUCGCGAAUCUUCAGGAAGAGAAAGAGCGGCGUCGUGACUCGUGGUCUUUUUAAUCCGUUCUCACGAAUAUAUCCGUGAUCCCGGAAAGACUCGAGAAACUCUCGACAAGUCAGCGUAGGUCGGAUUGAUUGAACUUUUUCAACAUUGGAAUUGUUUCCCACCAACGUUUCAAAUAUAUCGAAUUCAAAGCAUGCGAUUCAGAAAGGCGUUCGACGAUGAGUCGAAGAAAGAACAACGGAGACAUGUUUUUAUGUAAAAAUACAUAAAAAAGCUUUAUUUCGCCACCGUUUUCUUGCAAAAAAAUAAGUAUAAAAAACAUCUCUCCUUCGUGGUCGUCGUAAUCAUCAUCAUUAUCGUCAUCAUCGUCAUUAUCGUCGUCAUCAUCAUCAUUAUCAUCAUCGUAAUAGUCGUCAUUGUGAUCAUCGAUACCAUCAUCGUUCUCACCAUCAUUAUCAUCAGCCUCGUCGUCGUUGCAGUCGUCAUCGUAUUCAACAUCAUCAUCAUCGCUGCCUUCGUCGUCGUCGUCGCCGUCGCGUUCUUCCUCUUCUUCGUCUUUUCACGGCGAUCGUCGCGCGUAUAACACAGUGAUACGUCAACACGACAAAAUUCGUCGUCGCUGAUUAUUAUGUUAGAGGUAUGUGAGCGUUGUGUGCGUGUGUGUAGUGGGUGAACGGAGGAGGGGGAUGGAGGGGCCGCGGGGGUAGUGAAUUGACUAGUAUGGCCCGGACGCGCCGGGUGGCCCGUAAUUCGUGCUGGGUCCGCUGGGUCCGGUGCCGAUUCCAUCGAGUCCACCUCCGAUACCGGUGCCGCCGAUGCCGCCUCCGUGGCCUCCGCCGAUACCGCCUCCGAUACCACCUCCGAUACCACCUCCGAUUCCACCACCAAUUCCACCACCGAUUCCACCUCCGUGACCUCCGCCGAUACCGAUGCCACCGCCGCCGCCGCCGCCGCCGGUAACUUCCUUCUGCAAUGUGUAAAAUAUACAUUUAAUUUCACGAUAUCUCAGAGUUGUAAGGACGCGUCUGGAAUUUCCGACUUUCUACUCUCGGCUUGCGUCGCGCCACUUGUCGAAGUGGAACGUUCGCGAUUCCAAUCGUUUUCGUCUCCCUCACCUGCGUCUUGUAUUUGAUGAAAUAGACUUCCGGCUUGCUGGGCUGCGUGGGUGUGAUGGUGGGCAGAUUGAUCUCGGGCGCUUCCUCGGGCUUCUUGACCAACACGUAGAUGAGUGUUUUCUGCUCGUCCUGUUGCGGUAACGCCGGGAUCACAGGAGCAGUCGGAGUUGGCGGAGUCGGCGCCUUGAUGAAGAUGAUCUUGUAAUGCUUCUGCGGUGGAGCUGGUGGCGCGAUCGGCCUGAUCGGCCUAUCCUCGGGCGCCUCUGGGGGUGGCACGUGCACAUAGAUGUGUUUCUGAAUCAAGGAUCCACCACCGAACCCGCCGCCGAAUCCACCACCGGAACCGCCGCCGAAUCCGCCACCCGAGCCGCCGCCGAAUCCGCCACCCGAGCCGCCGCCGAAUCCACCGCCGAAUCCGCCGCCGGAACCGCCGCCGAAUCCUCCGCCGUGUCCUCCGCCGAGACCUCCACCGAGACCUCCGAGUCCACCGCCAAUACCACCUCCGUGACCGCCGCCGAUGCCGAUGCCACCGAUGCCACCGCCGAUACCGCCGAUGCCGCCUCCGCCAGGAGCACCGUAGCUAGUGCUCGGCUGGCUAUAAGAAUAUCCGGCUUCCGGCCGCGCCAUCGCCACUGUGGCGAGCGCCAGGAUCUGCGAUUACGAAUAGAUUACAAUAGACAGUCGCUUGAACUCGUUGCGUGGGAAGGAAAAAACUCGUGGAAACUCGCGAUACUUGAACGCAGGAAUCUGCUCCAGCAAGUUUGAGGAAGAUGGGAACGUAAAAAUACACUUUUGCGCAUCGUCCCUGCCUGUACUUCGACCUAUGUGUCUUGCGACACGUACACAUAGGCUGAGAACGAUUCCGAAAUUCAAUAUGCUAAUUGCUAAAUCGUCACGAAUGUAACUGAUCGCCAUGAAAAUUUGUCAAGCUUCAAACCGAAACUCUCAUCACGCAGAUGCCUCAGGUAAAUGUUCCUCAAACACGCCUUCUUAAAUGUACUUUUUUUCUUAACCGCAAACUCUUCGCGAUUGACUAAGUAAUUCACGGUAACCAAAUGCCUCCCGCUACGGGAACUUAAAACAAUGGAAUUGGCCACUUCCGCGACGCGAGGUAACGAGAAACAGCCAGGAAGAGAAAAGAACUUAAAAAAUUUCGGAUUGCGUUCCUCGGAAGCGCCUUCACGUUCGCAGAUAUGCAUACUACGUAUCGACGAAGGAGGAAGAAAGAUUGGAGACUUCUUCUUCUUGACAUGCAAAGUACGUCAUUGUGGAAAAUAUCGCGUGGAAUUUUGAAAAUUGCUCAACGAGAGCGCGUCCCGUCGCAAUGAUACACACAGCAAGUUUACCCACGACAAAAGUAGAUCACGAGCAAACGAGUUCUUCAGUUCGGACGCACCAUGCGAACGAAAAGUUUAACCUUGCUAGGUGAUAGUAUCCUCUCCUCUCACGCAAGUGCGUGCCUUGGACUACGCGUACGUGUGAGUAGAUAUAGAUGAAAGGAGGCUAUUUUAGAGGACGAUCUCAGAGAGUGAUAUAAUAAUGAAAUCGAUACGAAACGUGUAGGACCUACAUAGCUGUGUAGAACGCUCCCGUUCGAGUUCAAGUUCAAGAAGAAUUGGGCAGGAAUUGAAUAAAAUUUCCAAAAAGGCUCGAUCUCUCAGAAACAUCGCGCAACAUUCUCUCACGAUUUCGUUUCACUUAUAAAUAAUUAAUAUCAGCCAAAAGUUUACUGGUCGCGGAUGCGAACUCUGACGCCGAGACUAAAGGCAGCAACGUCGUGAAUCAUUAGCAUUGAACUUGACCAAGAUCGAACUCGUUUAACGCGAAGCUAUUCGAAAUUACCUAUGUAAUAAUUACAUUAAGUUAACUGCAUAGCGAUCUUAGAACAGGUUGAAGUGAAGACGAUAAGAGAUCUGGUGUAAACGACGAGACAAGGAGAGAUCUCUCGAUCAUGUUGUACGAGAGACUUGGGUGUCGACGUAAAUUUCUAACGGAUACUUGUUAACGACGAGAGACGUUUCGCACAUAGAUAUUUCGACGGGAGAAUCUAAUGUUCGGCCGGCGCGAAUUAUCGUCGGCCUUCGUUGCGAAACCGAAAGUCUCUUCCUUCUCCGCGUGGAAAUCUGCCAGCAGUGUCUCUCCGCCGCGAGAGCGAGAGCAAAAAUAAAGAGAAAGAAAGAAAGAGAGAGAGAGAGAGAGAGAGAGAGAGAGAGACAGGAAUGGACCUCGAAAUCCAUUUGACCCGAAUAUCCGACGAAGAAGCUUCUCUCGUUUAUUUUUCUUCUUCUUUUCUCGGUCGAGAGGAAUUAAACUUUCCCGGCAGAAGAAGCAACAGCGGCAGCGGUGAAUCUGCCCUUUGUUUGUCGAUUCCGGUUCGUCGUUUCGUCGUCUCCUUCUUUUCGCUGCGGAUCCAGAUCCUUAUCAAUCGUUCGGGAUCAUCCGAUCGACCACAACGGGCAUCGAGACCGAGGACGAACACUGGAGAGAGUUGUUGGUGUCAAUUAUCGAAUAACAUGUUCCGGAAGACGUGAAUCUGCGCAAAGAGACGAAUGUCAGAUAACGCGAUUACUUAUUAUAUUAAUUGAAUUAUAACAAAUUUUUAGGAUUAAAUUAUGAUAGAUUUUUUCUUGACUCCUCGAUGUAGACAUCUUAAUUCAUGAUGUCGGAAGCGAGUAAAUGCAUGCCUAAGAUACCUGCAAAGUACGUUGAAAUAAAAAGAUACAUCCAGAAAAUAGUACUUGUAAUCGAUUAAACACACUUCUAAAAUAUUCUGAAUAUUUUCCUUUUGUUCUAA